CAGGGCAGGGAGAAGCUCUCUCCUUCCUCUAGGUCCCUGCACCAUGUUGGUGUCUCUCCUCUGGCCAGGGCAGGUCCUGGCAGUGGUGGUGGUGCUGCUGCAGCUGGGCAGGAGUCUGGAGGCUGAGUGUCCCAUCCCAGAUAUCCCACAUGGGCAGCUGAAACCUGCACUGAACAACCCCUUUGGCAACUCAGCCACUCUGGAGUGUGAUGAAGGCUACAUCCCCUUGGGUGGCUUCACCACUGUGCGGUGCCUGAGCAGUGGCAGGUGGCAUCCAAGGGUGCCCACCUGCACCCUAGGUCGCUGUCUCUACCCUCCUGCUGUCAGCAAUGCAGACCGAGCCCCCCAGAGUGAGUUUCUGGUUGGGACAACUGUGACCUACUCCUGCAUAGCUGGGUACACUUUGCUCCCUGGAGUCACUCCAACAACCACUUGCCUUGCAAACUUCACCUGGUCCCCAGUCCCCAAGCUUUGCCAAGAGGUGCACUGUCCCAGCCCUGUUCUGCCCCACGGGAGGUUGCUCACACCUGGAAGAC